rnacentral:rRNA from 1 species
UACGUAGGGGGCGAGCGUUGUCCGGAUUUAUUGGGCGUAAAGAGCGUGUAGGCGGCUUGUCAAGUCCGAUGUGAAAUGUCACGGCUCAACCGUGAACCUGCAUUGGAAACUGUCAGGCUAGAGUCUGGAUAAGGAGAAUAGAAUUCCUGGUGUAGCGGUGAAAUGCGCAGAUAUCAGGAGGAAUACCGGUGGCGAAGGCGGUUCUCUGGGACAGUACUGACGCUGAGACGCGAAAGCGUGGGGAG